rnacentral:rRNA from 1 species
UACGGAGGGUGCAAGCGUUAUCCGGAUUCACUGGGUUUAAAGGGUGCGUAGGCGGGCAGGUAAGUCCGUGGUGAAAUCUCUGAGCUUAACUCAGAAACUGCCAUGGAUACUAUUUGUCUUGAAUAUUGUGGAGGUAAGCGGAAUAUGUCAUGUAGCGGUGAAAUGCUUAGAUAUGACAUAGAACACCGAUAGCGAAGGCAGCCUGCUAAAGUCGUGCUGACGCUGAUGCACGAAAGCGUGGGUAGCGAACAGG